UACGAAGAUGAAUAUGAGGAGGUGGUGCCUGCUGUCUAGGUAUUCACGUGCGUGUUGUCGUACAGCAGUCACCGUGCUCGGCUGACACUCCGGGUUAGCUGUGGGUGUCGAAAGGCUGUUGUUAUAGGAAGGGAGAAUAAGAGUAACACCUAGGUAUGAGGUGCAGACGAAGUGCAAGACACAAAUACUCGGGGUAUAGGAGAGGACAAUGAAGUACGAAGUGCAGACGAAGUGCAAGACACAAGUACUUCAGAGAGAGAACGGGGUAGCCGAGUAUAAGGUGCAGACGAAGUGCAAGACACAAAUACUCUGAAAUGUCGAGGAAAAGAGUAUAUAGGUUAGAAAAGGAAUAAACAAAGACUUUACUUUAAACAGUAACCCGGACAGCGACAACCGAGUACUAAGACUGAUGAAUGACACAAGGCACUGGAGUCGACUGACCACGAUGGUCAGGUCUAUUGGGUUUUUAUAAUAAUUACACCUAUUGCCGAUUUGGCAAUAAAUAUUAUUUGUUAAUUCACCAGUCUCAGGAAGCGGAUGUGCUGUCUGCAUUUUAUUAAAAUAAUUCUCACGAUUAUGAAAACGUGACACCAUCACAAUACUUACAAAUUGACUUUAUCUGUAUGUUAUUUUUUUUAUGCGUAAAUGCAUAGAGAUGAUAUCUAGCAUCAUCUUUAGGAACUUGAUCAUUGAGAUUUUCAACAGUCACAUUAUCUGAUUUACAUAAUUCAAUACUUUCUUUAUUGAUAUC